GGAGUUUCAGCCUCAUGGCCGAUAACCCUUCCCCCUCCACUUUCUCUUUCAAUCUGGUUUUGAUAGAUUUAACUGGUUUUAUUUUGUUAUUUAGUCUAGUAUACAGUGAGAGCUUGUCUCUCUUUAGUGAGGGAGUUUUUCUUCCUCUUUUUGUAGUUUCUCUUUGUUUUUAGUCUCUUCCUCACCAACCAAAGAAUGAUGUAAUUAGUACUUUAGAGGCUGUCUUCAAUGAGCUUCCCCAGUUAGCCGGCAACUCAAGGGAGGUAAUGGGUCCAAAUGAGAUAGGGGUCAUGCUAUACAAGAAUGAGAUGUCAGAGCUUUGCCAUGUUGGUCCCGAUCAACCGGCAUAACCAUGGUUGCUUGUUUCUAUCCUUAUAGUCGCUUGACCCUAACUUGCAUGUUGUCCAGGGAAAAAGAUGAGUAUAAAAGUUGAUUUGGCUGAGCAGUAUUAGCUUUUAUUAUUCCCUGAGUCCUUUAUGCUUCUAGAAUAUGUGCAGUUUCCGUGGGCAUAAGAUCUCCCAGUGCUAAGGGCGGUGGGGCCCGUCCGUUUCUCCUUUGCUGAGUUGAGUUGCUGGCUUCGGGUAAGUACUACUGUACUAGCAUGCAGCUUUGUUUUGAGGAUCUG
rnacentral:misc_RNA from 1 species